rnacentral:rRNA from 1 species
GACGAACGCUGGCGGCGUGCUUAACACAUGCAAGUCGAACGGAAAGGCCCCUUUGGGGUUACUCGAGUGGCGAACGGGUGAGUAACACGUGAGUAACCUGCCCUUGACUUCGGGAUAACUUCAGGAAACUGGGGCUAAUACCGGAUAGGAAUCCUUGCUGCAUGGUGGGGGUUGGAAAGCUUCGGCGGUGUUGGAUGGACUCGCGGCUUAUCAGCUUGUUGGUGGGGUAGUGGCUUACCAAGGCUUUGACGGGUAGCCGGCCUGAGAGGGCGACCGGCCACAUUGGGACUGAGAUACGGCCCAGACUCCUACGGGAGGAAGCAGGGGGGAAUAUUGCACAAUGGGCGGAAGCCGGAUGCAGCAACGCCGCGUGCGGGAGGACGGUCUUGGGGUUGAAAACCGCUUUCAGCAGGGGCGAAGCUUGUGGUGACGGUACCUGCAGAAGAAGCACCGGCUAACUACGUG